UACGUAGGGUGCAAGCGUUGUCCGGAAUUACUGGGCGUAAAGAGUGUGUAGGCGGUGCUCUAAGUUCGGUGUGAAAUCUCCUGGCUCAACUGGGAGGGUGCGCCGGAAACUGGAGUGCUUGAGCGUGGGAGAGGAAAGCGGAAUUCCUGGUGUAGCGGUGGAAUGCGCAGAUAUCAGGAGGAACACCGAUGGCGAAGGCAGAUCUCUGGGCCGUAACUGACGCUGAGGAGCGAAAGCAUGGGGAGCGAACAGG
rnacentral:rRNA from 1 species